rnacentral:rRNA from 1 species
CCUACGGGUGGCAGCAGUGGGGAAUAUUGGGCAAUGGGCGCAAGCCUGACCCAGCAACGCCGCGUGAAGGAAGAAGGCCCUCGGGUUUUAAACUUCUUUUGUCAGGGACGAAACACAUGACGGUACCUGACGAAUAAGCCACGGCUAACUACGUGCCAGCAGCCGCGGUAAUACGGAGGUGGCAAGCGUUAUCCGGAUUUACUGGGUGUAAAGGGCGUUUAGGCGGGAGAGCAAGUCAGAUGUGAAAUUCCAGGGCUCAACCCUGGAACGGCAUUUGAAACGGUUUUUCUGGAGUGAUGGAGAGGCAGGCGGAAUUCCGUGUGUAGCGGUGAAAUGCGUAGAUAUACGGAGGAACACCAGUGGCGAAGGCGGCCUGCUGGACAUUAACUGACGCUGAGGCGCGAAAGCGUGGGGAGCAAACAGGAUUAGAUACCCCUGUAGUC